CCUACGGGGGGCAGCAGUGAGGAAUAUUGGUCAAUGGGCGGAAGCCUGAACCAGCCAAGUCGCGUGAGGGAAUAAGGCCCUACGGGUCGUAAACCUCUUUUGCCGGGGAGCAAGGGCCGGGACGCGUCCCGGCCCGGAGAGUACCCGGAGAAAAAGCAUCGGCUAACUCCGUGCCAGCAGCCGCGGUAAUACGUAGGGAGCGAUCGUUAUCCGGAAUUAUUGGGCGAAAAGGGUGCGUAGAUGGCAUAUUAAGUCUGUUGUAAAAAUGCUGGGCUCAACCCAGUAGGGCAAAAGAUACUGCAAAGCUAGAGUAUGACAGAGGCAUGUGGAACUACAUGUGUAGCGGUAAAAUGCGUAAAUAUAUGUAAGAACACCAGUGGCGAAGGCGGCUUGCUGGGUCGAUACUGACAUUGAGGCACGAAAGCGUGGGGAGCAAACAGGAUUAGAUACCCGUGUAGUC
rnacentral:rRNA from 1 species